GAUGAGAACGCAGCGAAAUGCGAUAAGUAAUGUGAAUUGCAGAAUUCAGUGAAUCAUCGAAUCUUUGAACGCACAUUGCGCCCGCCAGUAUUCUGGCGGGCAUGCCUGUUCGAGCGUCAUUUCAACCAUCAAGCCCCCGGCUUGUGUUGGGGACCUGCGGCUGCCGCAGGCCCUGAAAAGCAGUGGCGGGCUCGCUGUCACACCGAGCGUAGUAGCAUACAUCUCGCUCUGGGCGUGCUGCGGGUUCCGGCCGUUAAACCACCUUCAUAACCCAAGGUUGACCUCGGAUCAGGUAGGAAGACCCGCUGAACUUAAGCAUAUCAAUAAGCGGAGGA
rnacentral:misc_RNA from 1 species